UACGUAGGGUGCGAGCGUUGUCCGGAAUUAUUGGGCGUAAAGAGCUUGUAGGCGGUUUGUCGCGUCUGCUGUGAAAUCUCAAGGCUCAACCUUGAGCUUGCGGUGGAUACGGGCAGGCUGGAGGCUGGUAGGGGCAAGCGGAAUUCCUGGUGUAGCGGUGAAAUGCGCAGAUAUCAGGAGGAACACCGGUGGCGAAGGCGGAUCUCUGGGCCUUACCUGACGCUCAGGUGCGAAAGCUAGGGGAGCGAACAGG
rnacentral:rRNA from 1 species